rnacentral:snRNA from 1 species
AGCUUUGUGCAAUGGCAGUAUCAUAGCCAAUGAGGUUUAUCCGAGGCACAAUUAUUGCUAAUUGAAAAGCUACGUAGGAGCUCACAGAAUCAAAGG